CCUGAUAGCUCAGUUGGUAAAGAAUCUACCUGCAAUGCAGGAGACCCAGGUUUGAUUCCUGGGUCAGGA
rnacentral:tRNA from 1 species